rnacentral:rRNA from 1 species
UACGAAGGGGGCUAGCGUUGCUCGGAAUCACUGGGCGUAAAGGGUGCGUAGGCGGGUCUUUAAGUCAGGGGUGAAAUCCUGGAGCUCAACUCCAGAACUGCCUUUGAUACUGAGGAUCUUGAGUUCGGGAGAGGUGAGUGGAACUGCGAGUGUAGAGGUGAAAUUCGUAGAUAUUCGCAAGAACACCAGUGGCGAAGGCGGCUCACUGGCCCGAUACUGACGCUGAUGCACGAAAGCGUGGGGAGCAAACAGG